rnacentral:tRNA from 1 species
GCAGAAAUAGCUCAGUUGGUAGAGCACAACCUUGCCAAGGUUGGGGUCGCGAGUUCGAGUCUCGUUUUCUGCU